rnacentral:rRNA from 1 species
AAAACGGAGAGUUUGAUCCUGGCUCAGGAUGAACGCUGGCGGUAUGCUUAACACAUGCAAGUCGAACGGUCUCUUCGGAGAUAGUGGCGGACGGGUGAGUAACGCGUGAGAAUCUAGCUUCGGGUCGGGGACAACCACGGGAAACUGUGGCUAAUACCGGAUAUGCCGAGAGGUGAAAGGCUAGCUGCCUGAAGAUGAGCUCGCGUCUGAU